GGAUGUGAGGGUAAUCUGGCUGCAACAUCUGUCAUCCCAUUGAUUGCCAGGGUUGAUUCCGCUGAUUUAUCUGGCUAGGAAGGUGUCCCCAUCCUCCCUCACCACGCCAUGCACUUUGUGAUCUUUCUGAAGCUGGGUGCUCAGUUGAAGAGGACAAUCACCCCUGUUAGAGGAGGACUAUUUCCUCAGUAUACAAGUAGCUGUGAUCCCCUGCUAGAACUUCCAAACAAGCUCACAAAAAAUGUUUUAUCCAAAAAGAAAUUCAUAGACUUAAAAUCAAAGGAUGGAAAGUAAUAUCCCACGGACAAGAAAACAAGCAGGACUAGCUACCCUGUUUUCAGACAAAGUGGACUUUGUU
rfam:Fukomys damarensis contig106986, whole genome shotgun sequence.